rnacentral:rRNA from 1 species
AUUGAACGCUGGCGGCAUGCCUAACACAUGCAAGUCGAACGAGUGGCGGACGGGUGAGUAAAUUCUGUGAAAAUGCCUGAUGGAGGGGGAUAACUACUGGAAAUGGUAGCUAAUACCGCAUACCAUCAGAUGUGCCCAGAUGGGAGUAGCUAGUAGGUGGGGUAAAGGUUCACCUAGGCGACGAUCCCUAGCUGUUCUGAGAGGAUGACCAGCCACACUGUAACUGAGACACAGUCCAGAUUCCUACGGGGUGCAGCAGUGGUGAAUAUUGAUCAAUGGGCGUAAGCCUGAUACAGACAUGCCGCGUGUAGGACGGAGGCCUUCGGGUUGUAAAGUACUUUCAGCGGGGAGGCGUUGCCCGCAGAAGAAGCUCCGGCUAACUCCGUGCCAGCAGCCGCGGUAAUAC